rnacentral:lncRNA from 1 species
CUACUCCAUCAUCACAUAAUACACAUAUGUUAAGGUCAAGAAUUUGUCAUCUAUACUUCUGAUCCCUUUUUAGUUAUGCUGAACUUGAGAAAGUGGAUUAUUGGAACAAGUGAAUUAUUUGAAAAGUAAAUUGUCAGUCUGUUACAUGUGGGAAGAGGCCUUUUGGAACAAGUGAAUUAUUUGAAAAUUAAAAUCUUUAAAAAAAAUUAAAGUGAAGUUACUCUCCAACUACAAUUCUAUGCAAGCACUGAUCUUUAAAUUGAAGGUGAUUAUUCUUCUUAAGAAGGGAGAACGAUUCACUUUGGUUUAUAUGAUCCUAUGGUCUUUUUUAUUGAUUGCUAUGGUUGUUCGUAUUAUAUCCUCUAACUGACCCAACUUGCCAUUUCAUACUCAUGCUAUUAGAUCAGGUGCUCAUGCAAGAUGGUUACUUCUCUUAAGGGUGUGUUACUGUUCAUUUGUGGUUUAGACUUGAACACAUACUUCUGUUUGAAAACAAUAAGUGCCAGCCUCUCAUGAUUACGGUAACUAAUUAUCCAUUUAACACAUACAGACUAUCAGAUACAACCGGAUGCCGCCACUUUGCAGUUUCAGAUUUAUGUUGGUGAGCUGGCCCAUGCUGUUCAUGGAAUGGCUUGACGUGAAAGGAAAUGGGCCCAUAGGUCGAGAAGAGAAGCUUUCAUUGAGCAUAAGUGUGGUGUUGUUGGAAUUUUUGAUAUUAGUUAGAUCUUUAGAUAGCCUUUGUUUGGAGGUCAGAUAGUCUUACUAUGAGGAUCAAGUAUGAAAUUAUGACAUUCUAUGAGGACUACGUUUAGGCACAUAAAUUAUGAACCAAUUAUUCCUUCUUGAAAGACGAUGUUUUUCCAGAAAAAUACUACUAUGAGUUCAGAAUUUUAGCAAAACAUGCAAGUUGUCAUUUUGAGAUUAGUUGUUAACUAGCAUUUGAAGGCAUGUGAUAAACAAAGAGACUAAUGGGUAUGUAUUGUGCUUUCAUAUAAAAAU